CCCAUGUCUUCAAGUGUCCCCUAUUUUCCCAUUGUCCCAAUUUGUCCCAGCCAGAGUCCCCUAGUCUCCCAGUGUCACUGGUGUCUCUGUGUCCCUAGGUGUCCCCAGGUAUCCUCGUCUUCCUAGUGUCCUAGUGACAUGGGUACCCUGGAAUACAUGGGGACACAGGGAGACAUGGGGCAUUGAGACACUGUGAUACAUAGGAUCACUGGGAGACCUGGGGACACGACACUAGGGGACACUGGGAGACAUGGGGCACUGAGACACUGAUACAUAGGAACACUGAGACCUGGAGUAAUUGACACAUGGGGGCACUGAGUCAUGAGGGCACUGGGAGACAUGGGGGCACUGGGAGGAAUCCAUCUAUACAGCAGAAUCAAACUAAG